rnacentral:lncRNA from 1 species
UUAUUUAACUGUUGAAUUUUUAUAUGAUGUUGAUCAUCACUUUAGUUUUUUCCAUUUACCAUAGUUUGACACCCAAUAGCCGAUGUAUUUUUCGUGCUGGGGUGUCGUUAAACAGUCAUUCAUUCUCAGAGUAGGUGGUUCCUUUCAUGCAGUAAAUAUUUUUCUAUUUCAGUAUUUGACAGGUGGUUGUGAUUUUGUGUUCUUGAACAUUGAUAGUUUGACAGCGUGUGGUUCUUGUCAGCCAUAUUGUCGACUCUUUAUCACACACAAGAUAAACAUUGAUAGUUUGACAGUGUGUGGUUCUUGUCAGCCAUAUUGUCGACUCUUUAUCACACACAAGAUAGUAUUUUCGAGCUUAAUAGGAGGUAUUUGUAACCAAGCACUCAGUCCACUCACCCAUUCCAAGGUCGUAUCCAAAACGAGGCUAUAGGGGCAGAGUCGAGAAGACGCCAUAACUAACUACGACCUGCUUACAGUUUAUUAAUGAAUAUGAAAACUGAUCUUCAUGGGUCACACACGGAUAUGUCGAGACACAUGGAUGUAUCUAAUGGAAACCUCAAGGGACACGUUAACGAAAAUCAAGCGUCACUAUGAGGAAAAAGGCUUGGUUCCAAGAGUAAAAAAAUCAGGUGAAUGUAGAUGAGAAAUCCAAAUGGAGAGGUAUUGAACAAACAAGAACGGACCCUCUUCUUGCUAUAGUCGAACGAUCGUUUUAUCAAGCCAAGUGCAGUGAUGCCAAAACAACAGCCGCAACAUACGGAAUUUCUAGGUUGGAACCAUCAAGACCAAACUCAAAGGACAUACACUUUAACUACUCCUUCGAUUAUACACAACAGGUGCACUAUCCUGCCGAUCCAAGGAAGUGGGAGUGCCAGGUGUUCGGUAUACAUGCAGAAGGAAUAACAUGUCAGAUAAAUGAUUUGAUUGACGAAACAAGGGCGCAAAUGCUGUCAUCAGCCUCCUACACCACUUCCUGGAGAACUAUGGAAUUGGUGAAAUGCACCUCGAACUUAAUGCAGAUAACUGCAGUGGCCAGAACAAAAACAACUGUGUAAUGUGGUACAUUUGCUGGCGUAGUCUCGUGGGACGUCAUACCACAAGUUACAUACACUUCAUGUUAGCAGACCACACUAGAUUAUAAAUGGUGGAGAUGCAACGAUCCUUACCAGUGAACGGAGCAACCCCAGUCAACUAUAGGUUUUGGGGCUAACUCUGGCAACCACCAAACUACUGUAGCUUACUGGGAAUUUAAAAACCUAAAUGACAAAUAUUAUUUUAAAUUGGCAAAAUAAUUUCAUGAUACACAGGUAAUUGAUUUUUUUUGUGGGAAAAUAACUGGGUUUACAGAUAAUUUGGAGAAAUGAUUUGCUUGUAAAGGAAAAAUUCAUAAUUUAUUAUUAUAAAAAAGUUUGAAGGCCUA